rnacentral:tRNA from 1 species
GUUAUGGUGGUUCAGUGGCAGAAUUCUCACCUUCGGUGCAGGAGACCCGGGUUCAAUUCCCGGCCAGUGCA